rnacentral:rRNA from 1 species
CCUACGGGGGACAGCAGUGGGGGAUAUUGCACAAUGGGGGGAACCCUGAUGCAGCGACGCCGCGUGUGGGAAGACGGUCCUCUGGAUUGUAAACCACUGUCCCCAGGGACGAAAAUGACGGUACCUGGGGGGGAAGCUCGGGCCAACUACGUGCCGGCAGCCGCGGUAAUACGUAGGGAGCGCGGGUUGUCCGGAAUUACUGGGUGUAAAGGGAGCGUAGGCGGGGAUGCAAGUUGGGUGUCAAAACUACCGGCUCAACUGGUAGUCGCACUCAAAACUGCAGCUCUUGAGUGAAGUAGAGGCAGGCGGAAUUCCUAGUGUAGCGGUGAAAUGCGUAGAUAUUAGGAGGAACACCAGUGGCGAAGGCGGCCUGCUGGACGACAACUGACGGUGAGGCGCGAAAGCGUGGGGAGCAAACAGGAUUAGAUACCCGAGUAGUC